rnacentral:lncRNA from 1 species
AUGUCUUUCAGUAGUAGAAUUUGACAUUAAAACUACAAGACAAGACAAGACAAGACAAAACAAAACAAAACAAAACAAAACAAAAACAAACAUAAAAGUGAGUUUUAGAGUUAAAAGCUGUAAUGCCAAUAACACAAACCAUUUAAACUUUGUAAAUUCAUAGUGUUGUAUUUUUAAAAAAUAUCUAAAAAGCCAUGACAUUUACCUUCAAAAAAAAAAAAAAAAACAAAGCAAAACAAAACAAAACUACUCUCUGUGUGUAUGUACAUGUAUAAAUACAAAUACUUCAUUUCCAUAGGAGAGUGUGAGCGCCCGACUCGCCAGCAAAGCAGACGCCACAACAGGAUCCUUCUACACACGUUUAUUGGGAAAGCUUGAUUGCAGAG